AGAACGUCCUCUCUACGUUCCUGGAGCUUCCCCAAGUCUAUGUAUGAGCAUCGAAACCUCCUCUGGUGCUUUAGUUUGGGUUGACGUUGGAUGGUUUUUCUUGGCAAAGGCUCGCUGAUUAAAAUGGGAGAGGAAUAGGACACGCCGGAUUGUCAAAUUGGCAGUGUGGCAUGCACAGGCUGAAUUUUUAGGGUCGGAAAUGCUUUAUGACAAAUUUCCAUUUACUGCUUUGGAUGUGUGUAACUUUUUACCGCACUUCCUAUUUUCGUUCCUUGUCUUUAUUCCACCAAGCCAUCUUUCUUUCCAUCAUGCUGAUAGUGCAUCGAGUUGAUCUAAUUAUGCAACCGAUGUUGGCACUUGGGAGGUGAGACUGCUGCACGGAGAAUUCUAGCACCUUUUAGCUAACACUUGUAAUGAGGUGUUUGCAAGUUGCAGCUGGGUCGCAUCCAUUGCGUUUUUUUGAUGAAUAGAUUCAAUCAGACUGGCUUUUAUCGUGCAUUGUCGAUCCCUUGAGUUAUGCUCUUUUUACCUAUUAAGAUCCAAUUUGGGAGAAAUGUUACAUCUUUGGCAGAGGUCGUCAUUCUCCGAGUGACUGUAGCAUUUUAAUUUGCAUUGAUUUAGUAAAUGCCAUUGAAUCGGCCUGGGCUGGACUAUUCUCUAAUGAAUUAGUGAGAAGUGGAGCAGGCUUUUUUUUUUUUUUUGCAAUGUGAGAGGUCGAGCAGGCUUCUUUUUUUUUUUUUGCAAUCUGCUGCCAAUUAUCAGUGUGAAGGUGAUUACCUCACGGCACACCAUGUGGUGUGAGGAAACACGGAAAUGCUGAAACAGGACACUGUUCAGAUGAGCUGGAGAACAUGUGAGAUUCACUCAAGAAAAUUAGAAUUGAGGCUAGCUUGUUUCCCAGAUGAUGGUGCCAAAGUGGGUUUUACAAAGAAUGCUUAUGGUUCAUUAGGAGUUUGGGGUGGAGGAAGCAAACACUUCUAAUUAAGUUGAGGCCAGAUUCGAUUUAAGUCAGAGGAGAAGCAUUUCCUCCAGCAACUGUUUGAAAAAGACUUGUCUUCAUGCAAUUUUCAAAGUGUCUUAAACAGAAUAAGCAGAUGUAGUUUUAUGAGCCCUCUAAUACUUUGUGAUUAGCUUGUACUAUGGGGUGUGUUAACUCAAUUCUUUUUUCUUUCAGAUUUGCUCAUAAAAUGGUCAGGGCAGGCAAUCGUAAAAUAAAAAUUAAAAAACGUUAUUCUAUUAGCCAAUCAGGAAACUACCUGAAGCUUUUGCCAGCCACAGUGUAACAAAUUAAGUGCUUGUAUAAAGUGUCUCACAAGUCAUUCACCACAAUAAAAAAUGACCAGAAAAAUGUUCUGAUAAGCCACAGCUGAUAAGUCACCAUGGUCCAUAUAUGGCCCUUGCCGAGAAAGUGAAGCCAUUCCGCGUCUCCCUCGCAGUUGUUUGGACAAGUUGCUGUAAACGUCUUCCCAUAGGGAGGACUAGUCAAAAUUAACUGCGCUCUUUAAAGUCAACAGCUCCCAUUGCCUUACUGCCUUUCUCCUUAUAUAGCCUCAAAUUGCUCGUUUUGUUUGGCUGCAGCGUUACAUUUCCCGCAGGGGUGGUGGACGGUGGGUGAACCCCUCAGAGAGGACAUCACCGGAGGCAGACGAGGUCACUGGCUGCAGGCGCCUUUUAGCAGUAAUGGAUCCCCCCUUUGUCUUUGCUAUCUAGAUUUGCCCAAAGGGUCAAGAGGAGCCACGCUUCCUGUCCCUCGGCUCACGGAUACCCCUCUGACUGUUUUACUGGUUCUCUCCUUCUUCCGAUUUAUCAUCUCAGCCAUUGAUGUAGCCUCUUGCAGAAACCAUUAAAGACCAAAGAGUAUCACCCCAAACCAGAUGUUUGGCCCUAACCAAGUGCAAUGUGGCAGCCAUGCAUACAAAGUCCACGACAGACUGAUGAGCUGGUCAUAAAGCAGUGCACCUAGAAGACGCCUGUUUUUAAUUUGAACAAGCCUAUCAUCACACAGGAUACGGUACAUUACAAACUGAGAUAUGAGGUGAGUGAUGUCAGGUCUCUGGUGAAAACACAUCUUCAUUCCCCUUUUUUGGAUAUGAUGGAAUGCACCCCAAAGACUUAGAAACUCACAAUUGACAAUAAAACACAUUGAAAAAUGUAUAGUCCAACAGUUCACUUGUCAGGCAAAAUGGAUUUUUUUUUUUUCAUGAUUCGUUGGACAUGUCAUGCAAGAAAACUCAUCUUUCCGUCACAGCCUAUCUAGCUCCUUCUCUUUACUUGGCUGAGGCAUUCUUUUAUUUUAUUUUUUCUUCCUAGAUUAGUGGAUAAACGAUCAUCUAUAAAUGUAUUGAAUGUUUAGAUUCUUUUUGUGGGAAUGCACUGUCAGCAAUUUCCAAGUGGGCAAUCAUUUUAAAUCUCAAAUAUAUCAUCUAUAUAUGUACCACCAUUUGAGGACAAUGACAUAGUUCAUAUAGUAUGUAAUUUAGCUGUCAGAUGCGAGAAUGCAGAGGCUGUUUGGAGUUAUUUUAAGGUCUGGCAAGCUUUUCUUCCAUGCGACUUUAGGUUUGAUGGUCCCUAGAGGAAAUACAGGCGUAGAGUGUGGCGUCUGCUACGGCCAGAUGGAGCUCCUGCACAACCAAGAUGAAGAAUUUCGGGGGGGUAGAUGUGAUGGCCUGUGCUCUGUUACGGUUGGCAAGUUUCUGUUACCAAUCAGAUUUGGAAAGCAACGAAAACGACAAUCUUCUCCUCAGUGGAAUUUUGCCCUCUUUGUUUGCAGGAAACAUUUUUAUGACUUGGCUUGAGGGGAAAAGGACAUAAAUACUUUGGAAACUCCUAUGAUAAACCAUAAUGACGUCACUAUUUCAUAUCUGGAAUGUGAGUGUAACUUUUUUUCCUCAGAAUGGAAAUUUGAGAUUUAAGGAAAAAGUGACCACAAAUUCAACAGAAACACAAAGAGUUGCUAACAAUAUUAUCGAAACCAAAAAGUAUUGCUUUAUCUUGGGGCUUCCAGUAGAGCUGUAUUGUCAAUAGUCUAAAGUCAAACAUCCCAGAAGUUCAAGAUAAAAAGAUGAAAUACGCCUUUAAUGUUGCAAACGGAGUCAUUCCUGGCACCCCCACGUAAUAUCUGCCUAUUGCUCACGUUUUUAUUCAACAAGAUAAUCCUGCCUGAAAUCAAGCACAACUGGACAAUCC